rnacentral:rRNA from 1 species
AGAGUUUGAUCCUGGCUCAGAUUGAACGCUGGCGGUAUGCUUAACACAUGCAAGUCGAACGGUAACAGCAGAGUUUGUUCUGGCUGACGAGUGGCGGACGGGUGCGUAACGCGUGGGAAUCUACCUUAUAGUGGGGGAUAGCCCGGAGAAAUCCGGAUUAAUACCGCAUAAGCCCUAUGGGGGAAAAGGGGCCUUUUUUUGGAAGCUCUUGCUACUAGAUGAGCCCGCGUAAGAUUAGCUUGUUGGUGGGGUAAUGGCCUACCAAGGCGACGAUCUUUAGCUGGUCUGAGAGGAUGAUCAGCCACACUGGGACUGAGACACGGCCCAGACUCCUAUGGGAGGCAGCAGUGGGGAAUAUUGGACAAUGGGCGCAAGCCUGAUCCAGCAAUACCGCGUGUGUGAAGAAGGCCUGAGGGUUGUAAAGCACUUUCAAUUGUGAAGAAAAGCCUUAAAUUAAUACUUUAGGGUCUUGACGUUAACUUUAGAAGAAGCACCGGCUAACUCCGUGUUAGUAGUUGUGGUAAUACGGAGGGUGCAAGCGUCAAUCGGAAUUACUGGGCGUAAAGCGCACGUAGGCGGUUAGGUAAGUCAGAUGUGAAAGCCCCGGGCUCAACCUGGGAACUGCAUUUGAUACUGCUUAACUAGAGUAUAGUAGAGGCAAGUGGAAUUCCAGGUGUAGCGGUGAAAUGCGUAGAUAUCUGGAGGAAUAUUAGUGGCGAAGGCGACUUGCUGGACUAAUACUGACGCUGAGGUGCGAAAGCGUGGGGAGUAAACAGGAUUAGAUAUCCUGGUAGUCCACGCCGUAAACGAUGUCAACUAGCCGUUGGGAGCAUUUAAGCUUUUAGUGGCGCAGCUAACGCAUUAAGUUGACCGCCUGGGGAGUACGCGCGCAAGCGUAAAACUCAAAGGAAUUGACGGGGGCCCGCACAAGCGGUGGAGCAUGUGGUUUAAUUCGAUGCAAUGUGAAGAACCUUACCAGCCCUUGACAUCCUGCGAACUUUCUAGAGAUAGAUUGGUGCCUUUGGGAACGCAGUGACAGGUGCUGCAUGGCUGUCGUCAGCUCGUGUUGUGAGAUGUUGGGUUAAGUCCCGCAACAAGCGUAACCCUUGUCCUUAGUUGCCAGCAUGUAAUGGUGGGAAUUUUAAGGAGACUGCCGGUGAUAAACCGGAGGAAGGUGGGGAUGACGUUAAGUCAUUAUGACCCUUAUGGGCUGGGCUACACACGUGCUACAAUGGCAAGUAUAGAGGGCUGUAAUCCCGUGAGGGGGAGCCAAUUUUAUAAAGUUUGUCUUAGUCCGGAUUGGAGUCUGCAACUCGACUCCAUGAAGUCGGAAUCGCUAGUAAUCGUAGAUUAGUAUUGCUACGGUGAAUAUGUUUUUGGGCCUUGUAUAUAUUGCCCGUCACACCAUGGGAGUGGGUUGCAAAAGAAGUGGGUAGCUUAAUAAUGGGCGCUCACCACUUUGUGAUUCAUGACUGGGGUGAAGUUGUAAUAAGGUA